rnacentral:lncRNA from 1 species
UUCAUUUCGUUUCAGUACUUUUUCUACACAUCCCUCUGCCUUGGCUCUGCUUUGGUCCGGGGAUCAUUUCUGAAGCUUGACGUUUUAGUAACGUUAAACUAUUGACAGAAAACACAUGAAACGCAGUUAUAGGAGAAACCCCAUCAGCCAUGCCUGCAAGUCUUGUUAAAUGACAUGCUUGUUGCUUUUUGCUGUUUAAUUCCAUAAGAUCAUCCUUCUAUCACUCACCUUGGGCAGAAACUGAUGAAGACAAUAGACAAUCUUGGCAGACACUGAAGAGAAACCGUUGCCAGGGGGUGGGAAAAGAAUGGAUGAAGCUGACAAAUUAUAGGGUUGCCUAUUCAGUCAUGAGAAUGGAAGCAUGUGUGGAUCAAUGUAUGAAAAGGAUAUUUAAGAGGAGGGGAGAAGGCACUUUUACACAUGUUUCCUUGGCUAUUGAAUGUGCUGGUGCCAAUCACUCACAGUCCAGAUCCACUCUCUGAGCAGAAAAUGACCUCAUCUCUUAUUCUUUAAGGAUUGGAGCAGCCAAACAGGGUCUAUUUUUAACAGGACUGGGAGCAAGAAGCAUGGCAUUGAUGGCUAGGAAAGUUUGUCUUAGAAGGUCUGGCCUGAGGCAGGGAGGAAUCAGAGCCAGGAGAGAGAGCAGGAAAGAGAUUGUAAGCUUGCAUGAGCACCAGCACAUGAAAUGAGGAAGGCAGACACUCAAAAAUCAGAAUCAAAGGUGAACUCAUUUUACCCUGACAGUCACUAAGCCUAGAGCCGUAAAUACCUCUUCAUCUUGCAAUCCAUUCAGGUCACGGAAAAGUUUCUUUGGAAGUGUAGCUGCCUGUGUUGACUCUGGUAGGGUGGAAAUUCAAGCUCAUCAGUGGGGAAAGAAGGAUUCAGAGUAAACUCAGCAGGACUCAGCUCCGAGCUUCACACCUCCCUUUACGAGAACCCUGCCGUGAAAUGAUAAUAUAAGCAGACUUCUUUUCUGCAUUUCUCUAAAGCUUUAGGCUUCCUCCAUGCAAAUGUGUGGUGAUUGUGUUUCCUCCGAAGGUCGAAGGUCGUAGGUCGUACUGAGCUUGGUUUUAUCCUAGUCCAUGUGCCUGAACCAGCUUUGGGGCUGCAAAGAACACAACAGCAGGAUCAUCUUGGCCUCCGAAAUGUGUUUCUUGUGCUUUCUUUCAGCUUUUUUAUUUCUCCAGGGAUGAAUGAUGCAUCAAGUACACAUUUCCAAAUAGCUUGCAAUUUUUCUUACACUCUGCCUCUUUACUAGAUUCCAAAUUUCUGACAGAUUCUUGACUUCCCUUUGGUAAGAGCCUCUUCAGUUAGUCACUGAUACCCUUUAGGACUCCCAGGGUCUAACGCAGGCAGUAUUUUCCCCACAUUUGACAGCACAGAGGAGAGACACAUAGCCGGGUGGUAAAAUGUGGAGGAAAUACCUGCGUGAGAUGCAACAUGCUAAGUUAUAAUACAAUGCUGUAUCCGAUGGUCUGGGAACCUGAGGAGUGUGGCAGUUAAUUUGGGGAAGGGUGUUCAGGGAAGGGCUCGUAGAGAAGAGAUGGCUGGGCUGGCUCUUGCAUGAAGGGAAAGAGUUGGGUGUUUCAGACAGGAAACAUUUGCAAAGGCCCAAAGGUGUGAAGAUACGUGACAUAUUCAAAGACUAGCCAGGGGUCCCCUCUGGCCCUGAGGGUUGAGUACAUAAGGGAGGGAUGGUGGGGAAUGGGCAGAGAGCCCUGAGACCUGAAACUGGAAAGGCAGGUUGGAGCUGAGCUGUGAAGGGCUCUCUACCAGAGGCCAAGGCCUGUGCCCUCAUUUUGGUGAAGAGCAGAGAACCCCUUGCCGUCACAGCUGCCUCCUUCUUCAUGGAGGCAGAUGUUGCUGGAUGUUUAACCUACAUGGGGUUUUGCCUCUAUAGGUCUGGCAAUGUGUCCUUAAACACUUUCACUUCCCUGUAAGGCAUGCAGGAAGACCAGAUCAUGGGUUCCCUUGCACUUAUAAGAGCCACGUGACAGUCCUGGCUGAUGAAGUGUGAGCCAGUGCAAUAGAUAUUAUUUCCAGAAACCAUCAGUGGAGAACUCAGACUCCAGAAGAUGGCAGUGUCGCUAGGCAGAAGGACCUGUGGGUCCCAGGAUCACUGCGUGGGAGGCUGCUCCCCAAAUACCCAAUCAGACUAUGACUUGAGUGAGACAUACACUUUCUAGGCAGUUAAGCUACAAGGUAUCAAAGAUCUUCAAUAACAGUAGCUCACCUCUCCGGAUUCAAUGCGUGAGGACAUUCUCACCGGAAAAUAGCUGUUUAUGCAGAUGGACUAUCCCAGUGUGUGGACUGGUUCCAGUGGCACCAGCUCAGUUUUCUCCAGAAGGACUCCUCGAGCAUGCGCCAUUGCACCAGACUCUCUAAGUCAUUGACAAUAAGCCUGUGGGGUUUCCUCAUCCGUUCAGCUCUGAUCCAUGACCUGCUGAGGCUGGGCAGAACCAGCUCCAUACAACCAAAUUGCCCCUCCCCUUACUCCUCCCAUCCUGUACUCCUCAUUCAGGGUGCUGGUUGUGUUUUAUGACUCUUUCCUCGCGGCUACUCUUGACUGUAUUUUAAUUUGAUUUUUAAAUCUGUAUGUAGAGAUAUUUAUUUAGGGAGGGUUCAGGAGCUGCGCUCUGUACUAUGUCUACGCUCCGUGCCUCUCUGGAGACAAACCCUUUAAAUCCAGACACUAGAGUUGAUAAUGACAAAUCUUUUAGGAUUUGUCCUAAAAGAUUUCCUUAUCUGGCUAUAAGAUUCACAAACUUGAACUCCUUUUAGGAUCUGAUACCUUAAGUUUUGUGUUCUCGGUUUCUGGGUAAAUGUGUAGCAAAGCCAUUCAGAAGGAGACUAAGAGUUUAUUGAACACGUUGUGAUUGGAUGACCUUCAUGUUUUCAAUACACCUGCAUCGUGCUUCAUGAUCUCACACGUUCCAGCCGGCAGAUGUUUAAUGAAUUCUUUCUUGAGGAUAUCCAUAACAUCAUUUUCCAAAGCUUGAUUAUUGCCAUAUUUGAGCCUUCUAGUAAAAUUGCUUUUGUUAAAGCCUUCUGAGAAUUUAGUCAAGAUGGUAUGGGUAGUUCCAUAAAAAUGAAAGCUCCCAGAGGAGGAAUCUGGAAAAUGAUUCAGCACCACCGAGUCCGACAGACCCCCUGGGAUCACACCUUAGCCCCACAUUCAGGAGCUCUCAGACCUUGGACGAGGACACAACCUCCCUGUGCCUCAAUGUCCUUCUCUAUGGAGAGACUUAGAGCUACCUCAUGAGGCAUGAUGACUGUAUCAUUUGUUCACAAUUACCCAGUUUUCCCUGCAGACAUCCCCGUCCCACUGACUGGAGCUUGGCCACGUGAAAUGCCGAGAUGGGGCCUGAGCAGAUGAGCCAUCCGCCUCACCUGAGCAGAGUUUUUUAGAGGCAUUGUGUGCUCCCAUCAACCCCUGUAUUCUCACCCCCACUCAGAAACCAUCAAGUCUCAUGCAGUGACUACUUCUUCAGCCUGGUCCUGGAAUGAGCAGAAGCAUGGGUCCGAGCCAGGCUGCAUCCAGCAGAACUGCAAAUAUCCAGAAAUUCCAGUACUUUUAGGGUUGAAAAUUAAAACUCUCCAUUCUCACAGGCAAAUGAGUCUUGAAUUAAGGAAAGGAUUGGGGGUGUUUCCAUCAUGGCACAGUGGAAACAAAUCCGACUAGGAACCACGAGGUUGAGGGUUUGAUCCCUGGCCUUACUCAGUAGGUUAAGGAUCUGGUAUUGCCGUGAGCUGUGGUGUAGGUUGCAGACGUGGCUCGGAUCUGGCAUUGCUGUGGCUCUGGUGUAGGCCGGCAGCUGUAGCUCCAAUGAGACCCCUAGCCUGGGAACCUCCAUAUGCCCAGGUGCAGCCCUAAAAAGACAAAAAAAAUAAAGAUAAAAUAGAAAAAAAGUAAAGGAUUGGGUAUAGAUCUGAUAGGGAUGGGGUAGACACAGGUGGUUGUAGAAGUCCCAGUAGGGGAUCAUAGAUAAAGAGGGGAACCUGGGAGAUGUUGGGAGACCACUGUGAAUUUAGGAAAACCUUCAGAACAAGGCAGGCUUGCUUAACUAACGGAGGUGCGAGAAUUGCCUCAGGUCAUUGGGUGGGGGAUGAGAUGAGGCCUGCAUUUAGAUUCAGACCCAAGGCAAGAGUUUGAAGACCACCCCUCAGCUGAUUUGAAUAUACACUUUCCCAGAUACUAAGGAGGAGCUACUACUCCCGGAAAUGAAGAGGCGGAGCUUUCCAACCCCAAGACCUUUGGAUGAUAAAACCCACCAGAGCCUUGGGGCAGUGUCCUUGCCUGUCCGUUUACAUCUCUUACAAGCAUCCUAUCCUAUUAAAUCUUUUUCUUGGAGUUCCGGUCAUGGCUCAGUGGUUAAUGAAUCCAACUAGGAACCAUGAGGUUGCGGGUUUGAUCCCAGACCUCACUCAGUGGGUUAAGGAUCUGGCGUUGCUGUGAGCUGUGGUGUAGGUUGCAGAUGCAGCUUGGAUCCAGCGUUGCUGUGGCUCUGGUGUAGGCUGGUGGCUACAGUUCCGAUUCGACCCCUAGCCUGGGAACCUCCAUAUGCAGCACGGGAGUGGCCCUAGAAAAGGC